GCUGGUCACAUGCCUGUAGUCCCAACUACUUGGGAGGCUGAGGUGGGAGGAUCGCUUGAGCUCAGGAGUUCUGUGCUGUAGGGCACUAUGCCGAUUGGGUAUCUGCACUAAGAUUGGCAUUGCGAACUUAGUGAAUCUAUGCUGAUCAGUAGUGGCAUCGCACCUGUGAAUAGCCACUGGACUCCAGCCUGGGCAGCAUAGCGAGACCCCAUCUCAA
ensembl:misc_RNA Metazoa_SRP Metazoan signal recognition particle RNA